rnacentral:rRNA from 1 species
AGUGAACGCUGGCGGUAGGCCUAACACAUGCAAGUCGAACGGCAGCACAGUAAGAGCUUGCUCUUACGGGUGGCGAGUGGCGGACGGGUGAGGAAUACAUCGGAAUCUACUUUUUCGUGGGGGAUAACGUAGGGAAACUUACGCUAAUACCGCAUACGACCUACGGGUGGAAGCAGGGGAUCUUCGGACCUUGCGCGAUUGAAUGAGCCGAUGUCGGAUUAGCUAGUUGGCGGGGUAGAGGCCCACCAAGGCGACGAUCCGUAGCUGGUCUGAGAGGAUGAUCAGCCACACUGGAACUGAGACACGGUCCAGACUCCUACGGGAGGCAGCAGUGGGGAAUAUUGGACAAUGGGCGCAAGCCUGAUCCAGCCAUACCGCGUGGGUGAAGAAGGCCUUCGGGUUGUAAAGCCCUUUUGUUGGGAAAGAAAAGCAGCAGGUUAAUACCCCGCUGUUCUGACGGUACCCAAAGAAUAAGCACCGGCUAACUUCGUG